UACGAAGGGGGCUAGCGUUGUUCGGAAUUACUGGGCGUAAAGCGCACGUAGGCGGAUAUUUAAGUCAGGGGUGAAAUCCCAGAGCUCAACUCUGGAACUGCCUUUGAUACUGGGUAUCUUGAGUAUGGAAGAGGUAAGUGGAAUUUGCGAGUGUAGAGGUGAAAUUCGUAGAUAUUCGCAGGAACACCAGUGGCGAAGGCGGCUUACUGGUCCAUAACUGACGCUGAGGUGGCGAAAGCGUGG
rnacentral:rRNA from 1 species